rnacentral:rRNA from 1 species
AGCGAACGCUGGCGGCAGGCCUAACACAUGCAAAUCGAACGAUCCUUCGGGAUAGUGGCGGACGGGUGAGUAACACGUGGGAACGUGCCCUUUGGUUCGGAACAACUCAGGGAAACUUGAGCUAAUACCGAAUGUGCCCUUCGGGGGAAAGAUUUAUCGCCAUUGGAGCGGCCCGCGUCUGAUUAGCUAGUUGGUGAGGUAAAGGCUCACCAAGGCGACGAUCAGUAGCUGGUCUGAGAGGAUGAUCAGCCACAUUGGGACUGAGACACGGCCCAAACUCCUACGGGAGGCAGCAGUGGGGAAUCUUGCGCAAUGGCGAAAGCCUGACGCAGCCAUGCCGCGUGAAUGAUGAAGGUCUUAGGAUUGUAAAAUUCUUUCACCGGGGACGAUAAUGACGGUACCCGGAGAAGAAGCCCCGGCUAACUUCGUGCCAGCCGCCGCCGUAAAAC